AGGGCGUCGUGCCUUUAUAAGACUGCGUUAAUGUUUCCGUGGAGUUAUCCUUUCCGUUGUUGUUUAUUGCUUGUUAAACAUGGCUUCAUUUGCAAAGGUGGUUGUGUGUGUCCUCAUUGCUUGUGUCUGUAAUGCAUUCGGUUUUCCGAAGAGAGAUGUGAACUUUAAGGCCUCUGCAGUUGACCGCCAAAGUGAUGAUGUGGUUGUCACCACAACACCCGUUCCCCACAACCAGACCACCUCUGCCCAUACUGAAGCUGGUGGUGGUGCAAGUGAAGAUGCUCUGGCUACUACCCCAGCACCUAAUCCACACAACCAGACAACUUCUGCACAAACUGAAGUUACUGAUGGAGCCAGUGAAGAUGCUGUGGACCGCCAAAGUGAUGAUGUGGUUGUCGCCACAACACCCAAUCCCCACAACCAGACCACAUUUGCCCCUACUGAAGCUGGUGUUGGAGCAAGUGAAGAUGCUGUGGCUACCACCCCAACACCAAAUCCCCCAACUACAUCUGACCACACUGCAGCUACCGGUCUGCAUCAGUGCAUGUCUGUUUUGAUGGAACACUUUGAAUGUUUGCGCCCCCCUUUUGACAGUGUCGCUUUCUAUUUGGGUGUAAUUGCAAGAUGAUGCAAGUGAGGGUGCUGUGGCUGCCCAAACUGGAACUACUG
rnacentral:lncRNA from 1 species